rnacentral:rRNA from 39 species
UAAGGUUUCCGUAGGUGAACCUGCGGAAGGAUCAUUGUCGA